UGUUAAAAAAUUCAUCCAUUUUUACUAUUAAAAUCUGGUAUGAUUGAUAGAAUAAUUAGACAGUUAUUCGUGUUGACGUAUAGAGACCAGUUUUUAAACAAUAGAAAUAGAUGAAUUUUUUAACA
rfam:Gossypium arboreum cultivar AKA8401 contig_9411_1, whole genome shotgun sequence.